ACUUUCUAAAGAGAAGGCCGCUGACAAUAAGAGUAUAUUCAGUUCCCUGGGUUCCUCUUGUUUGUCACAAACAUUCCUUACAGCCAAAAAAAAAUUGCUUUUCUUUUA